GACGAACGCUGGCGGCGUGCCUAAUACAUGCAAGUCGAGCGGACCCUUCGGGGUCAGCGGCGGACGGGUGAGUAACACGUGGGUAAUCUGCCCAACUGACUGGAAUAACGCCUGGAAACGGGUGCUAAUGCCGGAUAGGCAACUGGUAGGCAUCUACCGGUUGGGAAAGGUGCAACUGCACCGCAGAUGGAGGAGCCCGCGGCGCAUUAGCUAGUUGGUCCGGGGUAACGGCCUACCAAGGCGACGAUGCGUAGCCGACCUGAGAGGGUGGACGGCCACACUGGGACUGAGACACGGCCCAGACUCCUACGGGAGGCAGCAGUAGGGAAUCUUCCGCAAUGGGCGCAAGCCUGACGGAGCAACGCCGCGUGAGCGAAGAAGGCCUUCGGGUUGUAAAGCUCAGUCACUCGGGAAGAGCGGACAGGGGAGUGGAAAGCCCUUGUCGAGACGGUACCGAGAGAGGAAGCCCCGGCUAACUACGUG
rnacentral:rRNA from 1 species